GUUUGAGGUGAAACAAUUUUUGAAUAGUCAGCGGUGAUUAGGUUCUGAGUAGACAAGUGUUAAUGGGUGGUCUGUUCAUACAAGUUCUAACUGUCUGUCUGCUAUCCAUGACAACUGCCAGGACAUGAAUUACAUGAGGACAUUGGACACAUUGGGGGAGAAACAAAUGGAGAGGCAUAAGGAAGUUGAAGAGUACAACAAAAUGCAGACUGCUCAAAGCCGACUAAAGCAGUGCCCCGAUAGAGUAGAUUUUGGCAAGUUUGCCCUGUUGUGAAGCCAAAGGAAUCAAAAUGUUUUCUAAGAAAUGGAAAUGAGAGGAAGAAGUGCCAGUAGUGUUUGGAUACUUAAACAAGGCUGCUUAUACUGAAAAUCAAACGCAUUAAUUAAAUUGGGCACACCAUUAAAAAUCCAAAAUGGUGGACUCGUUUUUUUCAAAUUCAAAUUCAAAAUUGGCAUCGCAUUUGACAUCAGCGAAUCCGAAAAUCCUUUUGUACUAGGCUAAGUAGAGUUUUGAUAAUUUUUUGCGACGAUUCAGACUCAGUAGCAAAAUCUUAUCAUGUUUGAAACUAUUUAAGUAUUUGAGUGAAGGCGUUAGGAGUAGUCAGAGUUUUUA